UGGUGGAGAUUAAUGGCUUGGCAGCGACUGAAACAAAAAAAUCAAAUCAUCUGAACAUGCGGUGUUCUGGGCUCUAUGCAAUGCAAGAAAGUCUAGCAGCCCUCAUGUAAAAUUUCCGUCUGAGAAAACUAGAGAAGUGGAAAUUAUUACAAGCUCCCGAGACAAGUUUAAUUAAAUUGGCUGAUAUAUGCCUGUGAUUGGGUUUUGGGUGAAAUUCAUGUGAAAAGAGUCCAAAUUUUUAACGGCAUUUCUUGCGGGGAUCUCUAAGGUUUGUAUAUUUUAAAAAGUUUGUAUAUUGUUCUUUAACAAAUCUAACCAUUUUAGAGUCGUCCAAGAUUAAUUUAGCUAAUUAAG
rnacentral:misc_RNA from 1 species